rnacentral:rRNA from 1 species
GACGAACGCUGGCGGCGUGCUUAACACAUGCAAGUCGAACGGUGAAGCGCCUUCCUUUUUGGUGGGUGCGGAUGAGUGGCGAACGGGUGAGUAACACGUGAGUAACCUGCCCCCUUCUUCUGGAUAACCGCAUGAAAGUGUGGCUAAUACGGGAUAUUCUGGGUCUGUCGCAUGAUGGGUCUGGGAAAGAUAUUGUUUCGGUGGGGGAUGGGCUCGCGGCCUAUCAGCUUGUUGGUGGGGUGAUGGCCUACCAAGGCGGUGACGGGUAGCCGGCCUGAGAGGGUGGACGGUCACACUGGGACUGAGACACGGCCCAGACUCCUGCGGGAGGCAGCAGUGGGGAAUAUUGCACAAUGGGCGCAAGCCUGAUGCAGCGACGCCGCGUGAGGGAUGGAGGCCUUCGGGUUGUGAACCUCUUUCGCCAGUGAAGCAGGCCUGCCUCGUUUGUGGGUGGGUUGACGGUAGCUGGAUAAGAAGCGCCGGCUAACUACGUG